UCACAUAAGGUUUAUUCGGUAUUUAGAGGAAGCGUUUAACCAUGUAGUGUUGAAGUACCUGUGUAAAAAGCUUGGUUCAGUGUCCAGAUGAAACACCAGUUUUACUGUACAGGAUGUGAUGAUGGUUAAAUGCGAAUGAUGUCAUUGCAAAGACAAUCUUUGCCUGAGAUUAGGAUCUGGUGGACGAUCUGAAACAAACAUUCCUACAAUAUGACGUGUUUGUUUUAGGCGCAGAACAAGGAAACAGAAAGCCAUCUUGUGGCAGUAUGGAGGAGAUUGUGGCUUGCCCAAUGAACUUUGCUCCUGUGUGUGGCACCGAUGGCAACACGUACCCCAACGAGUGUGCACUCUGUGUCAAGAGACAAGAAACCAAAAUGGACAUUUUGGUCAUCAAGGAGGGGAGCUGCUAAGGGGAUCUGAAGUCACCAAAAAAAUGACAUAAUCUUGUUGCUUUAAUAAACCAAUGUGCAAAUAAGACUUGGUGUUUUUGUUUUAUUUUGAUAGGCCAUUCUUACUGUAUAUCCAAUGCAUACACAUCCAACAUAACUGAGACCUAAAGGACAAAUCCGUUACCUGGUGCUGUAGGGAUUGGUGUGUUGGUCUUUACCAUCUGACCAACCUGGACCACCGCACCACCAGGGGGAGCUGCCUUCACCUCAGCACCCAUUCCUCCCACAGCUCUGAGCACACCUGAUUCAGCUUGUGAUUUCUCCCUGGUUUUGUCUGUCUGUUUUAAACUGCAAUUGAAAUAACAUUGUAACAGUUCACUCCCUGUUCACCCUCCGACAAUAUGGUUGGAAAACUAGUGAUCCUUUUGUGUGUGACUCUUCUUGGUGCCUUUUCAGGGGCUGAAGGGCAUACUGGAUUUCAUCAAGUGCCGUCUUGUGGCGACAUGGCAGAGAUUCAGGUUUGCCUUACAGUCAUUGAACCUGUGUGUGGCUCUGAUGGUAACAUCUACAGAAAUGAGUGUGAGCUGUGUCUCCAUAUAAGAGAAACCCAAAUUGAGUUGUCCAUUGUGGGCAUGGAUAGAUGCCCAAGAGGAUAAUGUCUCCAAAUAAAACCUAAUUUUUCCCUAAAAUGUAAUGUAAUCAACUGGCAA